GCAUUCAUUCCAGCACUAAUGCACCAGAUCCUAUCAAAACUCCUUUGUUAAGGGUGCUUGGGCUAGAGUAGUACUAGGAUGAUUGACCCCCUAGGAAGUCCUCGUGUUGCACCCC